rnacentral:rRNA from 1 species
UACGUAGGGACCGAGCGUUGUCCGGAAUCAUUGGGCGUAAAGAGCGUGUAGGCGGCCACUUAAGUCCUGCGUGAAAUCUUGCGGCUCAACCGCAAGCGGUCGUGGGAAACUGGGUGGCUAGAGUGCGGGAGAGGAGAGUGGAAUUCCUGGUGUAGCGGUGGAAUGCGCAGAUAUCAGGAGGAACACCGGUGGCGAAGGCGCCACUCUGGGCCGGAACUGACGCUGAGGAGCGAAAGCGUGGGUAGCAAACAGG